UACGUAGGGGGCUAGCGUUGUCCGGAUUUAUUGGGCGUAAAGAGCGUGUAGGCGGCCAGGUAGGUCCGUUGUGAAAACUCGAGGCUCAACCUCGAGACGUCGGCGGAAACCCUCUGGCUAGAGUCCGGAAGAGGAGAGUGGAAUUCCUGGUGUAGCGGUGAAAUGCGCAGAUAUCAGGAAGAACACCCGUGGCGAAGGCGGCUCUCUGGGACGGAACUGACGCUGAGACGCGAAAGCGUGGGGAGCAAACAGG
rnacentral:rRNA from 1 species